rnacentral:rRNA from 1 species
GACGAACGCUGGCGGCGUGCUUAACACAUGCAAGUCGAACGGACGAGUGAGAUAAGUUUACUUAACUCACAAGUUAGUGGCGGACGGGUGAGUAACACGUGGAUAAUCUACCUGCAACACCGGGAUAACGCUGUGAAAACGGUGCUAAUACCGGAUACGUUCCCUUGUGCGCAUGUAUGAGGGAAGAAAGCUCAGGCGGUUGCAGAUGAGUCCGCGGCUGAUUAGCUAGUUGGUGAGGUAAAGGCUCACCAAGGCGAUGAUCAGUAGCCGGCCUGAGAGGGUGAACGGCCACACUGGGACUGAGACACGGCCCAGACUCCUACGGGAGGCAGCAGUGGGGAAUCUUCCGCAAUGGGCGCAAGCCUGACGGAGCAACGCCGCGUGGGUGAAGAAGGCCUUCGGGUUGUAAAGCCCUGUCUUAUGGGAAGAAGUCAGUGACGGUACCAUAGGAGGAAGCCACGGCUAACUACGUGCCAGCAGCCGCGGUAAGAGUAGUAC